ensembl:lncRNA
CCAACACCGACCAGCUGUGCUUCCUGGUGACAGACCUCCUCGAGAUGGUUCUGCUGCUGCAGCUUUGGGGCACAGGACAGUGGGUAUGCUCCGUGCAGCCAUGGUGCAGGACAGCCAUGACCUGGGAAAUCAGGGCAGAUCAGCCCAUGUGACCAUACUCUGAGGCUGUGGACACAGACACACCGCCAUCCAGCAGCAGUUACCACUGGCCACUGAGCUGCCCCUUCCACCCUGCCCUUGCUGGCCAUCAGUGAAAGCCAUUAUAACUCACCUGAGUCUCUUCUGCAUGAUUGUGAGAGAGCUUUAAAAAGGGAAUUCAAUUUAAAAUAUUCAAAUAUCUGUUUUGUAGUUUACUGCUAGGACCUAGAGCCACUUACGGAGUUGUACAUAAUAAAGAACGAUGUGGUAGACAUGAGUAGUAGAAAUGAAUGGCUGUCUUCUCCCUUCCUUUGAGCAUGGCCUGAAUACAGAGAGGCAAACAGUGUCAGGGAGGCAGUGGGUCAGGUGCCCAGCAGACCUGACGUGGUUCCGAGUUGGGUCGAGAUGAGCUCGGAUCACGCCAGGGAAGCUGAUUGUCCCCGUUGGGUCACAUGUGAGCCUGUGAUCGCUCUGGUCUGUGAGCCCGCCCUUCAGUCCACCCGCCUCCCUCCCAGCGAGGCUGUGCCCCCAGCCCACGAGCCGCUCAGAGGCGGAGACCAGCGGCCACACUUCCUGGUGGUGAGCGUCGCGGCCAGCGACCACAGAGGCGUCAAGAGAAAUGACGUUCCUGGACCCUUUCGCUGCCUGGGUUGUCUCCACAGCAGCACAAGUGGUUUUAGAUGAAGUACUUGGAGUCAUGUGUCUUUUUUUUUUAUGAGAAGAAAAUACAUGAAAAGUACAAAAACUGUUACUAACUGGACAACCGGGAAGGUGCUAGCCCCACAUUCGUGCCUGCCUCCCACUGACUCCAUAACCAGGGACAAGGACGCUUCCAUCCUGCAUGCCCAUCAGCCUGCAACCCAGUCGGAACCUGGCUGCCACGGCAUGUUGCUUUACAAAAUGUCUUGUCUUUCUUUAUGAAAUGAGAAAGGGGUCAGGCUGAGAAUGUCAUAAGCCCAAAGCUGGAAGAGGUUUCUCAAAUGUGGUUCUAGCUGAACCCCGCUGGCAUCGCCACGCCCUCUACCACCAGAUUCCACCAACCAGACCAAGCAGUCUUGACAUUGACUUCCUGAAUGUGACUAGGUGGGAAUGAGCCAGGAUUUCCCACAACGUUAAAUGUCUGCUGAAUGUUGUGAAUGUUCCUGAACUCUGCUCACUUUCCCUCUGUGCUUCCCUCUAACCAAAAUGUGUGUGUAGCCAUGACCUGUGUCAAGACCCAAUGCAAGCUACCGCCACGGUUUAAAAUAAAUCUCUGUGGAAACCUUCCUGUGGUCAUGUUAUUGUUGUCGAGCUGUGCCCUGUGAUCACAUGCACCCCAGCAGCCCUGCGUCGGUAUUCACCAGGGCUGGCUGAGUGGUCCUUUUUAUCUUUCACAUAGUGAGAAAAAAGUGAAAGUCACUCAGUUGUGUCCAAUUCUCUGCGACUCCUUGGACUGUACCCACCAGGCUCCUCUGUCCAUGGGAUUCUCCAGGCAAG